AUUGAACGCUGGCGGCAUGCUUUACACACGCAAGUCGAACGGUAACAGGUUAAGCUGACGAGUGGCGAACGGGUGAGUAAUGCAUCGGAACGUGCCCGGCCGUGGGGGAUAACACUUCGAAAGAAGUGCUAAUACCGCAUACGAUCUGAGGAUGAAAGCGGGGGACCGUAAGGCCUCGCGCGAUCGGAGCGGCCGAUGUCGGAUUAGGUAGUUGGUGGGGUAAAGGCCUACCAAGCCGACGAUCUGUAGCUGGUCUGAGAGGACGACCAGCCACACUGGGACUGAGACACGGCCCAGACUCCUACGGGAGGCAGCAGUGGGGAAUUUUGGACAAUGGGCGCAAGCCUGAUCCAGCAAUGCCGCGUGCAGGAAGAAGGCCUUCGGGUUGUAAACUGCUUUUGUACGGAGCGAAAAGGCUCUCUCUAAUACAGGGGGCUGAUGACGGUACCGUAAGAAUAAGCACCGGCUAACUACGUGCCAGCAGCCGCCGUAA
rnacentral:rRNA from 1 species